rnacentral:lncRNA from 1 species
CAUUUUCUAAAGGAAAAAUAGUCUUUAAAUUCGCAUAAAAGCACUUACCACGAAACUAACAACAACCAAAAUUACUCCAAAUACUUAAUUUGCUGGAGAUUUGUUUAACACUACACGUUCUUCUCCUAACAAACCAUAACUAUCAAUCAAUGGAAUUCGUAGCGCACCAAAACGUAAAUUGAGAACCAAGAAAACUAAAACCCUCGUCACAGAAAAUAACAAUAUUUACCUCAGAUUACUUACAUUUAAUACUAACAACACCACGAAACGCUCGUACGAGUAAUAGAAAAAGAAUUGUGAGAGAAAUUUUACAGUCAAAGAAAAACUAAUAUGAGGAAGACAUAACAAAACAAAAAAGAAAAUAUAUGGAGCAAAAAGAAAAAAAAAACAAAAACAAAAACAUAGGGAAGGUGGAGGUUAAAAAAGGGAGGAUUUUUAGGAAACCAAUUAUUAUUAUAGUUAUUUUUUAAAAAACUACCCAUUACCCGCACUAACCAACCACUUAUCAUAUUCCCCAG